UUGUGGUGAGGGCAUUUGCGUAAUAGCUCUUUGAAUCUUUCCCAUGCUCAUAUAGGGUUUCUUCAUCCAUUUGUUGAAAAUUUGUGAUCUCAUUCUAUAACAA
rfam:Gossypium hirsutum cultivar TM-1 chromosome 15, whole genome shotgun sequence